UGCUACUUGCUACACAGACCAUAGCAUAUGUACUGCAUUGUCUACAGUAAAAAAGUCUCAUAUGCUGCAGUGAAGAACUUUAUCAAUAAAUGCCAGGAGGAAUAUGACACAAAAAUUACACAAACUGUAUGUCCAUGCCAGCCAAAAUGUGUUUUUAUGGGGCGGAGUGAUAAUUACCUUAGAGGUGUUGCCCAUAAAAUACAAAAUACUAACAAAACAACAAAAAGCUGCCAUAUUUCACAAUUAUCAUUAAUUCCUAGGAUACUCAGUAAAAAUUCAUUGAUUCUGCAGCCAAAUUGGCUCAAAGUUGCCAAAUGGAAUGAUGUGUAACCACACCUUAGAAAUGUUUUUAAACCAGAUUUUGUACUGGGUUGUACAAUUACCCAACCUUCUGCUGCUCACAAGCCCAUGUACAGGAAAGGUGGUAAAAUGGAACUCACUAUCAUUCUAGAAAAUGUAAUACAGAGGGUUGAGAAGACACUGAAGACGACGAAGCACUGGAGAUCGUAUAACAUCAAUUACUGACAGCAAUGUGGAAAACGUAAAGAAAAUGCUUCUGGAAAAUCAUCGAAUCACCAUCACAGUGGUUUCUGAUGAUGUCUGCAUAUCCAAGGAAUACUACUUGGAAGUUGUGCACUGUUUGCAUAAAGCAAUCCGAAGAAAAAGACUAGAACUGUGGCAAAACCACUCAUGGAAAUUGCAUCACGCUAAUGCUCCUGCUCACACCUCAAUGCCUGUUUGUGAUUUUUUGGCAAAUAGCAAAACUAUUAUGUUGCCUCAGCUACUGUAUUCAAUGGAAAUGGCCCCCUGAGACUUCUGUUGACUCCUGAGGCUGAAGAGAAAUUUUACCACCAAUGAUGAUAUAAAAACAAAAUUUCUGAGGGAGCUGAACGCCACAACAAAAAGUGAAUUCCAUGAGUGCUUCCAAGAUUGGUAAAAGCACUGGCACAAGUGUAUUAU